rnacentral:sRNA from 1 species
AUGGAGCUGUGCUGGCUUCUUGUUCACAAAAAAAUUCAUCAAGCUUACAAGCCUGACGAGGUUGAGGCGUUGGCUGCUCUGAAGGCAGUGACAUUUGCGCGUGAAUUGGGUUUUCGGAGAGCUACUCUUGAAGGAGAUUCUCUCGAUCAGAUUAAAGCUUUGAAGUCAACAGAGUGUAGCCUAUCUCCAAUAGGUCUGUUGGUAGACGAUGUGAAAAGGGUUGCUAAUAGUUUUGAUCGAUUGUUGUAUUCUCAUGUUAAGAGAAACGACAAUAGGGUUACUCAUAGUCUGGCGAAAAAUGCAUUAUGCAUACCAGAUUUUCAAGUAUGGAUGGAAGAUGUCCCAUUGCAUAUUGUUUCAAUUUUAGAUUUGUAUGUAAUUGUUUCAAGUUAAUAAAAUAAAUUGGCUUCUUUCUAAAAAAAAAAUUAACAAAUCAUAUUCAAGCUUGCCUGUUAUUGGCUUAUUGCAAGAUCAGUAUUUAUUUAAUCAAUAAAAAUGAUUCUUUUAUAUCACAUUGGUAAAAACCUUAACUUUGGCUCUUAAAAAAAAAAAAAUUGUUUGCUCUUAAAUUCCAUGAUGAUCUUACACGGUCUUGGAUUCUUUUGAUAGAAUUUUAGAUGGAGAAUGGGAAUUUGAAUUGUGGACCGCUUUGUUAAAAAUACUAGACUAUGUCAUUAAGUUACAUGGUUUGUGGAUAUGGCUGUAAAUGAACUAAAUUGUUUAUGAACAACUCGAGCUCAACUCGGGAAAAAGCUUGUUUAUGUUCAUUUGUCUAGAAAACAAGCAAAGUUCAAGUCUUAAGUUCAUGUUCGAUUAUUAAACAAGCUAAUCUCAAGCAUAAUAAUGUGUUCAUGAGCAUAAAAGCUCAAUUUAACUAUAUAUAAUAUUAUAUUUUAUAUGUAUACAGUAUACUUGCCUAAAAAUAUAUUUAUAUAGACUUAAAAUUGAAUUGUAUAAAUUUGUGAAUGGGUUCAUAUGAUAUUGAAUUAUUAUUUGUAACUUACUGAUGAUACAAAUAGUCUACAGUCUAUUUGUAGUAAAAAUUCACAAAAUUGUGAAGAAGUAAAGUAUUUUAGUCAAAGUUUCACAAUAUAGGAAAAAAAAAAGUUAAUCAAGUAACUCAUGAGCAAGCUCGAGCUUGCUUGAAAAGAAAAUGGGUCACACUUAAAUAUAAAAUUUUGUUUGGUGAUGAGCUUGAGCUCGGCUCGUGUUCAAAAAAAAAAAAACUUUUAAUAUUCAGCUCAGCUUAUUUAGAACCCUAAAUAUGGAUCUUAGUGCUAGUUAGAUAGUUAGUUUUUAUUAUUUAUUUGUUUUUAAUUCAAAGAAGAUUUCAAUGUUAGGUUAUUCAAGGAAUUUGUUUCUUAAAAGACCAAAAAAAAAAAGAAAAAAAAAGAGAGGCUAAUAAUGAAAUUUUAAAGACAUAAAAUAGCCAUUUUUACAAUUGAGUAUGUCCAAUUUGAAAAUGAAAUAUUUUUAAACAAUUACAAAAGGAUUUUGAGGUAAGCUUUUUCUAACUCAUUAUAAGCAGUUAAUAAGAUCAUUCAUGUGUACUUUUAGUCACAUUACUUAAUCAAAUGAUUUAUAUGACUUGUUUAAAUAACACACAAGGUGAUUUUAUAAAUGGCCAUUUAAUAGAUUAAAUGAAAUUCUUCCAAAUCGAUUUAGAGGAAAAUUUUUAUCUCUUAUGAAGUAGGGUAUCAAACUCUUAAUGAAGGUAUAAUUGUGGUAGAUUAUGAUACUAAAGAUAUUUUUUUCCGCAUAAUUCUAUUAUAUAAAAUUUUUAAAAUAUUAUAUUAUAUUAUAUCAUUAAAUCAUUAUGUGUAACAUAUUUUCUAAUAAUUUGGUAAUUAGAAAAUAUAUGGGUGAGAAUUUUUGUUUCUCAUGACGAAUGAUGAGAUUGUCUGGUUUUUUAAUUGAGCUGACACUUCUUAGUAUUUCAAACGGACAAAGUGUAGGUUUAACUUUAAAUCAUUGUCAGAACUAUUGACGUAUAUUAAUAUAUAUAUAUAUAUAUAAUUGAUGGAUGAGAUAUUAGAAAAUUACAUAGUCAUUGUUAUUUGUUAAGAGUUUUGUAGUUUAAGCAGUUGGCACCUCACAAUAUUUCCAAUGGAGACAUCCAAAUUCAAAUCCCCUACCCCCAAUUAUCUAAUUAUUAUGAACAAAAUUUGGCUCCCAACUAGUUUAGAGUAGCAGCUAUCUUUUAUAACCCAUCACAUAAUAAUUUAUAUGACUAUCCAUAUGUAUUAUUUAAACAAAUUACAUGACUUAUUAAAAAAAUAAGGUGACUAAUAAAAGUCUAAAACUAUACUUGAAUAAUCUCUUCAAUUGCUAUAUAAUUUCAAACAUGUUUAAAGCAAACAUUUGUACAAAGACAUUCAUGAUUCAAAUAUUGCUUUUCCAAUUAUGGGAUUAGGUGUGUUUGAAUAAGUGGUCAGAAAACUAUGUUUUGAGUUUAAAAUGUUAUGUCCACAAUAUUUUUAUAACAAAUCUUAGAUGACAAAUUGUUAUUAGUUGUUGUUAUUGGGACAAAAAAGUAAUCUCAGUGAUAAAUUCAAAUUUGAACCAAUAACAAUUAACCACCUAUAAUUUAUUAUAAAAAUAUUUUAUAUACAACACUUCUCUUAUAAAAAAGUAACAAAAAUUUGUGGUUGCAAAACAGAAAGUAGGAUUUUAAAAUGGCUCUUUAAUCUAAAAAAAAGAAAAAGAAAAAAGACAUGGUCAUUGGAUUUCCAUUCAUCUCAAAGACUAUUUAGACAAAUCCUAUUUCUCAGUCACCCUCGCUCACACUUCACUCUCCUCAACCAAAAGAUGAGUGUUCUAGCUCUUUCAAACUCCUUACCCACGCUUCCACAAUUGUCACCAUCCCAAUCCCAAUCCGAAACUCCAAAGCCUCUAUCACCACUCCUCUCCAAUUUCACCACCACCACCACCACCAUCCACAACAACUCAAUCAGUUGGACCAAGAAAACCAUAAUCACAGCUCUCUCCGGCGCUCUCUCCUUCGGACUCGUCUUCUCUCCGCCAUGCUCUGUUGCACUUGAAUCUCCCACCAUCCAAUCACCACCAUCUCCUUCUUCCGAGUACUGCCGCGAAGACGAGCAAGUAUUGAAGGCCGAGUCUGGUCCAGAACUGGUGACCAAUGCCGGAAUUGUUGAAGAAGCUUGGGAAAUCGUCAAUGACAGUUUUCUCGACACCGGUCGCCAUCGCUGGUCUCCCCAAACGUGGCAGGUAACGAUUUUAUACAGUACACACGGUCUUUCUUCUGUGUUUUGAAUUAAAUGGCUUUUAAAUUUGAUUCAUUCAGGAAAAGAAGGAAUAUAUCAUGAACACUUCAAUUCCGACGAGAGCAAAGGCUCAUGAUAUUAUCAGAAGAAUGUUGGCAAGCUUGGGCGAUCCGUAUACGCGUUUUCUUGAACCAGAAGAGGUAAUUCUAACUCUUUCCUAGAACCUUUAAUUUAAUUUUGAAAUGGCUAAAAGUAUUGAUUGAUGAAUUAUUUGUGGUAUCGUCGUGUUCGUGUAGCGUUCGCAUGCAUGAUUCAUUGAGUUUUCAUAACCAUUUUCUAUGACUAAAGGAGGGGCGGAGCCAGUUAAUUUUUGUUUGGUGAAUUAUGAUAUUGAUACACUAGUCAAAACUCAUACAUACACACAUUUACACACUAAUAUUUGCAAGCAUGUAUUUACAAAAUAAAAUUAUACUAGUUUGCUAUAUAUUAAUUAGUGAAUUAAUUGUGGUAUGGUCGUGUUUGUGUAGUGUUUGCGUGCAUGAUUAAUAGAGUUUUCAUAACCAUUUUCUAUGUCUAAAGCAGGGGCGGAGCCAGUAAUUUUUGUUUAGUGAAUUAUGAUAUUGAUACACUAGUCAAAACUCAAACAUACACACAUUUACGCACACUAAUAUUUGUAAGCAUAUAUUUACAAAAUAAAAUUAUAAGAGGACUAGUUUGCUAUAUAUAUGCACACAAAAAAUCACUUAUUUUAUUGUAAUUUCUUUUUUAGAAUCUCUCUAAUUCUUUUGGGUACUAUCAUUUCUAACUUUAAAUCUAUGUUGUUUAUCUUCUUCUUCUUCUUUUUUUUUUUUUUUUUUUUUCCGUAUAACUUUUUGAGUUUGAAUGAAAGCAUUGACAAACAAUUGGAAACUAUAAACAAUAACAACAGCAACAAAAAAAAUGUUAGUCCCAAAUAAGUGUUUUCUACAAUUCUAUGUCCACAAAUUAAACUUAUUGUUCAUAACUCAUAAACAAAUAAAAGCAAAUUCCUUUGAACCCAAUCAAGUCCUCAAAGCCACGGAUGAUUCAAGGCUAAAAGGCACGUGAGAAAAUUGCUUUUAUAAAAAACUCAGUACUGGACUCAACAGCCAGAAUUCACCAAACAAGAGAGAAAAGCUAAAGAGGAGAGACAUUAAUCUAGCAGUACUUUUUUAUUUUAUUUUUAAAGGGAUGAUUUUUUUUUUUAAACUCUUUUCUUUAUAUUAGGGAUCCAUUUGAACAAUUGUUUUGAAGACCCUUUGGCUAGCUAGUAAAAAGUUGUAAAUAUAUAUACUGUAUUCUGAUUUUUUUUAAAACAACUGGCCCUACUUAGUCCAUACAUGGCUCCGCCCCUGCUAUAAUGGAUCUUCAUACAGAGAGUUCUGCCAUAUUGAAAUCAGCCAGUUUGCAUAAACAUGAAAUGAAUUUGAGAGAAGUACCUAACUGUUAUCUUUACCUUUAUGACACUUACUCAUAGAGCCUGGGUACCUGAGGUUCUCUUCAAUUCAAUAAAACUUCUAAUUACUUAUGAAAAAAAUCCAUUAUUUCUACAUAAUGGUCUUUACUUACAAACUUUUCAGUUUUCUUGUUCCAUGGCAUAUGCUGCUUUUGUCAUUGUUGAAAGUUCUCCAAGAUGGCAAGGUAUGACAUGAGUGGUGUUGGACUGAACCUUAGGGAAGUCCCAGAAGACAAUGGGGGUGUAAAACUGAAGGUACUAGGUCUCUUGUUGGAUGGUCCUGCACAUUCUGCUGGUGUUAGGCAGGUAGCUACAAGGCCAAAAUUACAGAUGCAACAUACUAAUAUUUGUUUUAGUUUGUGCCUUUUAUUGCGCUUCAACUCUUGAUUCACUGCUGAUUUCUGGAGUUUAUGUAUUGCUAAACUCUUUCUUUGUGCGACAACACUCGAUAUGGUUUGAGUGUAGUUAUGCUGGUUUGGGUAAUUCUUUAAGUUAUGAACUGCUGUAUUUUCUCUAUGUGUUACUCUAAUUACUUGCCUUAUAUCUGAGUUUCUGUUUUCUCUGGUUUUGACACUAAGUUCUUUAUUUUUUUGAAAAUGUAUUUGUUGCAUAUUAUUCAUGUUAUGCUUCACCAACUGCUUGAUCUGUUUAUGAUGUAGAACAAAUUUGAAUAAUAGGGUUGUAUCUUUUUUUGAUAAAUUCCAAGUGAGGGAGGGGGAUUCAAACCCUAGAUGUCUCUAUUGGAAACACCAAGAGGUCUAGUUGACCUUUCAUAAAGAAGUCCACUGACUGUCUUUCUGACCUAGAGGCAAAUGGAAGGGAUGAUGCUAGUGGUCAAGGCACAUAUAUGUCUAACUAGGGACUCUGCUGCUAUUUAUUUUUAUUAUUAUUAUUUUUUUCAUUUUAAAACGCAAUUAUUUAUUCUGCUAGUGUCAACUUCUACUACACAGUCCCAUCACUCUAUUAUUGCCAUUAGCAUUUCAAGAUGUAAGAGGCCCAAUGUUAUUUUUGGUUGUUUUAAUAGAAGUAACUUCUUAUUUUCCUAUGUGUAAAUAGAAACAGAAUAUGGCCUUUGAUAGGGAUGAAUUCUGGAAAAAGGAUUUGUUUAGCCAACUCAACCCUUUCAGCCAAAGGUUCUAAUAUUUAUAUGGACUAUUCUGUGUAUAAACACACAUGCACAUUGUUCCUUGGUUUUAUUUAGUUUCUGGAAUUUCUUUUUCUUUUUAAUAAUUAGGGCUGAUUGUGGUUGAACUAGUCUGCUGUAUAAUAGGUUUCCUUACACUUUUUUUCUUUCUUCCUUCUACUUUGUUAGGGGGAUGAAGUGUUAGCUGUCAAUGGAGUAGAUGUGAGAGGGAAAUCAGCCUUUGAAGUAUCAUCUUUGUUACAAGGCCCUAAUGAAACAUUUGUCACUGUAAAGGUUGUGAUACUAAUAUAGUCUCAUAUGGUGUAAUGCUACGUUAAUUUUUUUGUUGUGUUGUCCUCAUAAUGAUUGUUCAAAUUUGUAUUGUUAAUGUUAGGUCAAGCAUGGUAACUGUGGGCCUAUUCAAUCUAUCGAAGUGCAAAGACAACUUGUUGCUCGAACCCCUGUCAUUUAUCGUUUGGAGCAAAUUGACAAUGGCUCUGCUUCUGUUGGGUACAUGCGCCUAAAAGAGUUCAAUGCAUUGGCUAGAAAAGACUUGGUAAUUGGUAGGUGUCAUAUUAUUACACUAUAUCAUUUCAGAAAUAUGUAAUAUAUUGCAUAAUUUUACUCUGCAUAAACCCUCUAAGUUCUGCAUGCGAACACAUUUCCCCGUGGAAUACAAGUCUUAACAAGAGGAAGCUUUUGAGGAAUUAGCAUUGGUCCUUUUAUCUCAUUCCACUGUUUGCACACAAGAACUCAAGACAGGAGGCAAAGAAUGAAUUAAUCUGAUUUGCAUUUUUCCCUUGGAAUAAAUGAAUUUAUAGUAUACCAUUAGGUCCUUUCUGGUUUUAGAUAGUUGGAAGCUGAUAUCAUGUGCCUAUUUGGCUAGCUUGGAUCCUUAUUCUUAUGUGAAGCUUAUGGCAUUAAUUACAGUCCCAAUAGGGCUUUCAUUUAUGUUAUACUUGAACUAUAUAGUUUCAGUUAGUCUUAUGAUUUUAACUAAAACAUAAAUAAUGAUUGUUGCAGCAAUGAAACGACUUCAGGAUAUGGGAGCCUCAUCUUUCAUUCUAGAUCUUAGAGAUAACCUUGGUGGAUUAGUACAGGUUUGUUUGCAAAAUUGAUCUUAUGUUUAUCUUAUGUCAAUAUGUAGUUUUGCUGCUUUAGUCCCUCCCUCAAUUGUUGAAUUUUCUAAAUGCUAACUUUUAUUUGUUAUCGUGUUACUAGGACACCAGGCUUUUUCUAUUCCUUUGGUGCCUUCAGAAUAGCUUUUCAAAUGCAUCUAGAAAAAUUUCUAAUGCAAGAGCGUAACCAGAAAUGAUCUCAAUAUUUUAUUUUGGAUUUUAAUUGGGUAAUUUUAGAUUUUAAUGUUUUUAUUUAUUUAGUUUGAGUUAUGAUAGGGAUGGAAUUUCAUAUCCUUAGAUAAGGACUAGUUUAGUAUUUGGAUUAGUUUGGAUUAGUAUUUGAGUUUGAAUAGGAUUUGUUUUAGGAUGUUUAUCUUUAUCUCUUGAGAUUCUUGGAAGCUCUAUAUAAAGCUCAAGAUGAAUUAUUUUGUAAUUAGAUUAUUAGACGUUUAUUAAUAUUAUUCAAUGAUUAUUCAUACAAAGUUUGCAUUGCAUUUAGUGGUGAAUCCAAACAACCUUAGGUGGUGAAGCCUAAGGUUUACCGUGGGAUUAAUCUAGGUGGGAAGCUUAGGUUUUCUUGCAUCAACUUUGGUAUCAAAGCUAAAUUUGAUCUUUCAAGCUUUCAACAACUCAAACCAAAUCUGAUAUACAUCUCACCAAUGUUAACCCAACCCAAUUUCAACCAUUAGAGAACAAACCAACCAGCUAUGACAUUAUUCAGGUUUUUACCCCACGAGAUCUUGAACAAGCCCAAACCAAAACCAGUUCGUACUAUAUACUCACUUUACCUGCAUGAAUUUUUCAUUCCAAAAAAAGUUUCCCAGCAGCCAACAGAGAAGCCUGCUACUCCUUCCAAACCUGUGACUCCAAUCCGUGCCCAACUCUAGAUUGCAAGAUCCACCACCACAAAAAAAAAAAAAAAUAUAUAUAUAUAUAUAUAUAUUUUAAGUUUAUUAAUAUCAGUUUACCGUGGGAUUAAUUUAGGUGGGAAGCCUAGGUUGUCUUGCAUCAAUUUUGGUAUUAGAGCUAAAAUCAAUACAUCAGUUUUUAGCAACCACAAGAAAACUGUCGUUCUUUCAACCACUGCUUCUAAAACCAAACAUCCAGCAACUCCUACAUCCCAAAUUCAUUUUCAAUCCAUUAGUACAAACCAGAUCCAGAAAACUUGAAACCCACACCAUCAGAGCAGAAAAAGUUCUAGCAGACACGUGAGUUCACUUACCAGCCCAUGAAUCCUACAUUAAUCCUACAUCUAUGUGGGCCACACUCAUUUUGGGUAUUUAAGCAUUUAGCACAGCCCAAUCAGCCCAUCAAGUAUUCUUGAAUUUUCAGCAGUACCAGCCCAUGCUCGUCAAACCCAAUAACAGCCCAGGUCAAACACUUAUUGCUCCAGCUGUGUGAAUCAUGCCCCAUAUAAUGAUCAAUACAGAGCACCAGCCAGAGCCUAGGUUAGCAAGCCAUUGUUCAUUUCAAAUUGUUGAGAAUCCAUUCCAGUGAAUCAUGGUAGUCUUAGAAACACCAAUAAGAUGUUUCUAAGACUAGAAACACCAAUCAUGGUAGUCUUAAACCAAUAAGGUUAGCAAGCCAUUGUUCAUUUCAAAUUGUUGAGAAUCCAUUCCAGUGAAUCAUGGUUGUCUUCGUCGCACUGCUUCUUCCUCUACAAAAGGUAUGAGGGAAUUAUGGAAUUUAAUUUCUACAGUUAAUUAUGAUGGUCAAGCUGGUAAACGAAACAGGGAGAUUGUGAAAUUCAGUGGGUUGGGCUCUGAUGGUUGUCCAUGACUUUGAGACUUUUAUCUUGGAAUGUGAGAGGAUUUAAUAAUCCUCAUAAGAGGGAUACUGUGAAGAACUUAUUUAAAGAAUGGAAGUGUGAGGUUGUGUGUUUUCAGGAAACCAAAUUGGAUCGUACCAAUUCUGUUGCUGUGAAAAGUCUUUGGGGCAGCUCUUUUGUGGAUUGGGUGGCUUUAGAUGCCAUUCACAUAGCGGGAGGUAUUCUUGUGGUCUGGGACACACGGGUGUAUGAGAAAAUUGAUUGUGUGGUGGUAGCUUUUUUGUUUAGGUCUUGUUGAAAGGGGUGGCAGAUGGUUUUGUUUGGAUGUGCACGGGUGUUUAUGGCCCAAAUGAUGCCGGUUUGAGGGACGCUUUUUGGGCAGAGCUUGAUAGUGUGAGAGUGAGAUGGAGUUCAGCGUGGUGUGUUUUGGGUGAUUUCAACAUUAUUAGAUACCCGGUAGAGCGUCUUGGGUGUAAUUCGUUUAGUCUAGCCAUGUUCAAUUUUUCGGACUUUAUCGAGAUGAAUUUUUUGGUUGAUCUUCCUUUGGUCGGGGGUGAGUUUAUGUGGUUUAGAGAUUCAACGAAUCUUGCUAUGUCUCGCAUAGAUAGAGUUUUGGUUUCAGCUGAUUAGGAGGAACACUUCUUGGAUGUAAUUCAAAGGCCUCUCCCUCGGGUGGUUUCUGAUCAUUAUCCUAUUCUAGUGGAGGAAGGAGGCAUGGCGAGGGGGAAAAGCCCCUUUAAAUUUGAGAACAUGUGCCUAAAAGUGGAGGGUUUUGUGGACCGAGUUAGGGGCUGGUGGAACAGUUAUCAGUUUGUGGGAUCCCCUAGUUAUGUCCUCGCAUGUAAAUUCAAGGCUCUUAAAAAGGACUUGAAGCAUUGGAAUAAACAUGUUUUUGGGGAUGUGCAUUUUAGAAAAAAAUGUUUGUUGUUUGAGCUGUUGGACCUGGAUUUGAAAGAAGGUUUGCAAGUGAUGACUAUGGCAGAUAAAGCAAAAAAAAUUGAGAUUAAGGCAGAGAUCGAUUCUUUAGCUUCUUUGGAGGAGAUUUCUUGGAGGUAGAAAUCAAGGGCUUUGUUCUUAAAGGAGGGAGACAAUAACACUAGGUUUUUCCACAGGCUUGCUAAUUCUCAUAGACGAGCCAAUACCAUGAGGGGUGUGGAGCUUUAUGGCAUUAUGUAUAAAGCUGAAUCAGAUAUUCAAGACCAGGUGGUGGGGUUUUAUAAGAGUCUUUAUUAGGAUCCAGAGGAUUGGAGGCCCACUGUUGAUGGGUUAGAUUUUGCUAGUUUGAAUGAGUUUGAUAGGCUUUCUCUUGAAAGGGAGUUUGAUAGGGAGGAGAUCAUUGCUGCUCUUCAUGAGGCUGAGGGUGAUAAGACUCUUGGUCUAGAUGGCUUUACCAUAACUUUCUUCCAAAAGUGUUGGGGUGUGAUAGAAGAGGAUGUUAUGGCUUUUUUUGCAGACUUUCAUUGUCAAUGCGUCUUUGAGAAAUCUUUGACUGCUACUUUUCUUUGUUUGAUACCUAAGAAGAUUAAAGCUGUCAAUAUUAAAGAUUUUCGGCCCGUUAGCCUUGUGGGUAGUUUGUACAAUCUUCUGUCGAAAGUGUUGGCUUCUAGGCUUCGAAGUGUUUUGGAUAAGCUUAUAUCCAACUCUCAAAAUGCCUUUGUAGGGGGAAGACAGAUUCUAGACUCUGUUCUUAUAGCAAAUGAAUGUUCAGAUAGUAGAUUGAAGAGUGGUGUUUCAGGUGUGAUCAUUAAGUUGGAUAUAGAGAAGGCUUAUGAUCGUGUAAAUUGGAAUGCUUUGUUUUACUUAAUGGAGAGGAUGGGUUUUGGGGAGAAAUGGGGAAGGUGGAUGAAGGCUUGUAUCACUACAGUUUGUUUCUCAGUGCUUAUUAAUGGGUCCCCGGUUGGUUUUUUUGGUAGCUCUCGUGGUCUUCAUCAAGGAGAUCCUUUAUCUCCUCCUUUGUUCUUGUUGGUGAUGGAGGUGUUGAGCAGGUUAUUGAGGAGGACAGAAGAUGGUGACUUUCUUAGGGGGUUUCAGGCAAGCCCAAAUGCAAGAGGAGGUUUGCAUAUUUCUCAUCUUUUGUUUGCUGAUAAUACUAUUCUUUUCUGUGAUGCAUUUAGGGAACAAUUAUUAUAUAUAAGGAUGGUGUUGAUCUUUUUUAAAGCUAUUACAGGCUUAAAAGUAAAUGUUGGCAAGAGUGAAAUUGUGCCCAUUGGUGAGGUUGGGAAUUUGGGUGCUUUGGCUCGCAUUCUAUGUUGUAAGGUUGGGCAUUUGCCUAUGUCUUAUUUGGGAAUGCCUCUUGGGGCUCAUUUUAAGGAUGCUUCGAUCUGGAAUCCUAUUUUAGAGAGGGUGGAGAAGAAGCUCGCUGGUUGGAAGUGGUUGUAUUUGUCAAAAGGAGGUAGGCUUACUUUAUUGAAGAGUACUUUGUCGAGUCUCCCAACUUAUUAUCUAUCGCUGUUUACAAUUCCACAACACAUAGGAGACAGACUAGAGAGGAUUCAGAGGAAUUUCCUGUGGGGGAGUUCUAAUAAUGUUUUCAGAUAUCCACUUGUUGCUUGGGAUAAGGUUGUUUGGCCGGUGGAGAUAGGGGUUUUGGGGAUUUGAAAGAUUGGGCUUUUUAACCAAGCUCUACUUGGGAAGUGGCUUUGGCGAUUUGGGAAGGAAGCUACUCAUUUAUGGCGUCAGGUAAUAGCCACCAAAUAUGGAGAGGAUAGUGGAGGUUGGUGCACUAGAGUUGUGAGAGGGACUCAUGGUUGUGGGUUAUGGAAGAAUAUCAGGAAAGGUGCAGACAAUUUUUUGUCAUGUGGUAUAUGUAGCGAGAGAGGGUAAUCGUAUUCGGUUUUGGCAUGACCCUUGGAGUGGUCCUACUCCUUUGAAGGAUUUAUACCCGGAAAUGUUUGCAUGUGCUGUGGUUCAGGAAGCUCUGAUUUCUGACAUGAUAAUUUUUGCACCAAACGGGGGAGGUAGGAGUUGGAAUUUCCAUUUCCGACGCAAUUUUAAUGAAUGGGAGUUAGGGAGAUUUUAUUCUUUCUAUGAGUACGUCUCUGCCAAGAUUCCUAGUGGGGAGGUGGAGGAUAUUUUGAUUUGGUAGUUGAAUCGUAGUGGUGUCUUUGAUGUGCAAUCCUUUUAUAUUGCUUUAUUGAAAGCCCCUUCUGUUUCUUUCCCUUGGCAGAGCAUUUGGUGUGUAAAGGUACCUAAAAGGGUAUCUUUCUUUUUAUGGAUUGCUGCUAGGGGUGGGAUUCUCACAAUUGAUAACCUUGUUAAGAAGAACUUGCCCCUUGUUAACUGGUGUUGUUUAUGUAGGUGUGAUGAGGAGACUGUGGAUCACCUUUUGAUCCAUUGUAAGUUUGCAUCUGCUUUGUGGAGUGAGGUUCUUAUUAUGUUUAGGGUUCAGUGGGUGAUGCCGGACACUAUUGUUUCUCUUCUUUUUGCAUGGAGGAAUUGGUUAGGAGCUUACUCUUCAAAGGUUUGGAAUUUGGUACCAGCAUGCCUUAUGUGGUUAGUUUGGAAGGAACGCAAUGCCCGAACUUUUGAGGACACUGAGAGUCCUAUAGAUAAGUUGAAGACCUUGCUUGCUAGGACUUUGUUUGAGUGGUCUCAUAUUUGGGGGCUUACACAUUGUAGUUCCUUGUCUGAUUUCCUUAUCUCUAUUAGUCUUUCCCUAUGAUUUGAUUGUAUCUGUUUCAAGGGCAGUGUGUUUACACUGGUAAAUACAUUGUCCUUUUUCAUCAAUAAAACUCUUAUUAUCUAUCAAAAAAAAAGAGUAAGCCUCCACUUGAAUCAAGCAGUAGGUUUGUAGAAGCUGACGCAAAGUCCAGUGUGAAUUACCCUGAGGUUACAAGAGUGAAAAUGAGCAAUAAUUAACUGAGAUUUUGAUUUGUAUGCGUUUAGAUUAUCUUUUUUGUUGAAAUUUUAAAUCUUUUUUAUUAUUAUUUAAUGUUAGCAAGAGUACAGUUGUAUCUAAAAAAAUGUGAGUUUUUAAAAAACUAUACAUAAGCAAGUACAUGAAAAAGCUAAUCCAAACUCACCUUCAUCUGGCCUAAAAUAAGUCUUUAUUGAUUGUUCGCGACAUUUCAACCUGAUAAAAUAAAAAGAAGGUUGAUUUGUGUAUAGCUUGUUUUCGUCUCUCUUAUAAGAUUGUUCCAUUGUUAUUAUUAUUUAUUUUUUGAGUAGCCGUGGCAAGACUGGGGGCCAGAUGCUUGUCUGCUGUCAGUGCUUAUGAUAAUACGCUGGAUUAUGUGGAUACGUUAGAGGUUGCUUAGGCCAAAUUUGAUAAUAUCUUUGACUCUCCUUCAGUGGAUGUGGCAUGUGAGAAGAUUAAAAGCCUUGCCAAGGCAAAGGAGCUAGAUUCCUCAUUGAUCUUUUUGAUAAACAGUGCUUCAUCUUCUGCAUAGGAAUCCACACCUAUGAAAGAUGAGGUAUGGAUGAAUGGAUGGCAAAAUUUUACCUGAGGACAUUCCCGUUGAUGGACUACGAGGGUCACUUUCCUAACUUGGUUAAUGCAUCACAAAAUGCACAAGCAAGGUGGACAAGACCUUAAUAGUCACAAUGUAAACCUUCCUAAUUUUAGCUGGACAGCAGUAUAUAAUAUCAUAUCAUAUAAUUUCCCCAACAUAAAAAAUCGUACCUUCCUUCCUAACUCUUCUUGGCUUUCCAUUUGGUAAUUAUUCUAAUUGAAUAGAUGUCUAUCAAAAGAUAUUAAUAACAAUGUUGCAAAUGUACUCAUAAUUGAUACAAAGGAACUAAAUUGUGUAUGCUAUUUUGUAUAUGUUUUGCCAGCCAACAAUGUGGAAAGGAUUUUAUAAUAGUGGAAAACAGACUCACAGUUGAUCACAUUCACAUAUAGUGCGGACUGGGUCCUCCAAUGUGGUCACAUGUAUUUUAAUUUUUCAAUAUUUCAUGUCAUGGCCCAUUUUUGUACAAUUUAGUAUAUAAUAUUACUUUGUUACUAUUAUAAUAUAUUAUACAGUUAGAAAGUGAUCAAUAUUUUUUUAACAAAUAAAGGUCUACCGACCUACCAAUUAGUCUACAGCUAUGGUUUAGCAUAAUUAUUAUAUUUUUUAAUUUAUUUUUUUAGUUACCCAUUUGACUUGGAUUCUAUUUUUUAGUGUCAACCCCUUUGUUUUGUUAUCAUGUUUCAUAUAAUUGUUGUGUAUAUUAUUAGGAUAUAGGUCUAUAGUUGCUAGUGUUAAAUCACUGUUUGUGAUUGGCAGAUACAUAGUGGCUUUGGUUUCUGAAUUGAAUAUAAGUGUGUAUGUGUGUGUGUGUGGGGUGAGAUUAGCUUACUGUUGUUGGAUCAUUGUGAUUUGCAGAUUAAGGUGUGUGAAUGAGUCAGCAAUUUGUAAUAAAUAGUUUUAAGAAGACAAUUUCAUGUUAGAAUUCAUUUUUCAACAUUUUAGUGCUAGAACCGUUAUUCAUCUUCAAGGUGAACAUUUUUUUUUAUUCAGUUUCAUGAAAUAAUUAAAUGAUUUUACAUAUAACAGUUCCUCUUCAAAUGUAAGUGCAACAGACACCUGAUUAGCCUACAAUAAUAAUUUCCUUAAUUGGGAUCACCAAUCGAUGAAAAGCAUCUUUUAGGCCAAGAUGGUGUGGAUGGUUGUACAUGUGGUGAUCUUUUCCUCUGUUGAAUAGAUUUAAUAUCACUGGGAGAUAUUCAUGUCUUUGUUCUUAUAUUUUCAUAAGAUAUCCAUGAAAUGAGAAAAAAGAACUCUGCUGGUUUUAGGUCAAUAUUAUACCAGCUUUGCAGAAUUUGUUUCUCUACCGCUUUGACUUGAUGUUAAAUGGCACCUUCAGUUAUUUCUCUAUCAUGUGAAACUUUCAUCAGACAAGCCUUGGAAUUUGUUGAUGUAAUUUUUUUUUCUGCUUUGCAGAAUUGGUACCUAAAUAGGCCUAUAGUUGAGUUUGAGAUUGCAGCUCAGGAGCAAAUGGAAGUAAUAGAACUACGUCUUGGGUAGCUUUUUACAAGCAAAGCUAAAGUCUCUUCAACAAGUGACCAAUAUCCUGCAGUUUUUGCAAAGAAAGUAGAAGGUACCUGUUAUUUUUUUUCUCCUCUAAAAUAACUUUCCCAGUAUCACAAAAAAAUGUUUAGUUGGCCCACAUUAUUAAUUCUUAGGUUUAUUGUUGCUUUUCCUCAUCAUACGCUUGUUAUGAUGUUUGAUAGAAUGUCUUGCUGACCUUGUAAGUGAGGUCAAAAUUUGGCUUUAGGGAGGUCAAAACUGGUCUUGAAGCUACUGGUGACCUUGGUAGUGAAUUUGCUGCCACUCCAACUAGCAUGAGGAAAAGUCCAUAGUUGGAAGUAGAUGUAGAGGAAUAAAAUAAAUAAAGUUUAGUAUCCUUUUUUAAAAAAAAGAGAGUAAAGUUUGGUGAUCUGUAUAUCAACUACAUAAAAUUCCCAAAAUUUUUGGUACAAAAUUGGACAGGGCUGUUUCCUAGAUCUAUGUAACCUUGGUAUAUCACCAAAUUAAUAAUAGUUUUUCCACCUGUUGAUAAAAUUUUCCAAAUUGUUCUCUCCCUCCUGAAAUUCAUUCUAAACUUAUUUUUAGUCACUAUGUCAAUGAGUUUUGAUUACUCUUAUGAAAUUUGAAAUGAUCUCAUUUUGCCAGUUAUUGUUACUUAAUUCUCUUUUACUUGUAAUUGUCAGCAAACAGAAAAAGUUUGUUGAUAUAUCAAACAAAUAUACCAUAGGCUUAUAACAGUUUUUUUUUUUUUGGGUAAGUCAUAGCAUCCACAGUGUUUGGGCAUAUAACAGUUAAUUUUCUAUAUUUUUCUACACAUUGCACAAGUGUUUGUUAGUUCAAUAAAUAAAUGAAACCCCUUCCUUCUUAUCCUCACAAUUUUUCAAUUUUGACUUUCUUACGUUUUUCCUUAAAACUCUUUUUUUGUGACUCUCCAUGAUCUCAGUUUCUCGUAGUACUUUCUUUAAUAGCAAGAAAGGGUGUUAUGAAGUAAUUUAUCAUCUCUUCAACUUUUAUUAGUUGCAAUAUAAGACUUUUUUCCUUCUUCUUUAUUUUACUAAAAGUCCUAAUUUAUUAAGUAAAAUAUUAUCCAAUCUUCUUUAAUUAUUUGAAACCAAUUUGUUAGAGUAUAGCUUUAAUUACUCUAAUUAUUUUGAAAUCUUAUCUGAUUGCUUAUGAAUACUCUUUCUAAAAGUGAAAUAUGUGAUGCAUGCAUGGUUUUAUUAAUUGACUGAGUACUCAAUGUAUUGUACACACAAGGACAGGGUAGUACAAUAUGAGUGAUGUGCAUGAAAACUCAAAAAUAUAUCACAUUUAAACAAAACAUAAUAAAACUGGCAGAAUAACCCCUAGUCCCCUACUACCAAUAACCACACAAAAAAACAAAAACAGAAACAAAACAAAGAAAGAAAGAAAAAAACUCUAUAUAUAAAGCAUAUCCGAUAAAUUCUUUGUUGAAAGAGACUAGUACAACAACCUACAAAUUUUUUUUUUAAAUUUAUAAGAUUAAUUAAUUAAAGCCUUCAAUUGUUCCCACCUAGAAAAUCACAUUCAUGCAAAAUCAUAACAAGCUCAUGUUGAAUAGUUAAAUAAGGAAAAUAAAAGACUUAUAUAACAAUUCAACAAAGACUUAAAAGUACUAUGGGAGAUUCAAAGAAAGGUACUAUCUGUAGGACUUCAUGACUUACGAAGAAAAUUAGGCCCUUAACACGGUUGUAAAGGGUUUAAUUAAGCAUCUUUGAGUCUUUGACGUAUUGGGUGGGAUGUUAGGGUCAAGGAAUCAAUUAAAUAUAUGAAAGUAAUUACAAAAAAGGAGGUAGGAAGCUCCAAGUCAAAAGAAGCGGGCGGAUCUUUAUAUCAAUUCACAUUACAAAUGAUAAAAAAAAAAAAAAAUCAAGUUAAUAGUGUUGAAAUUUUGCCUCCCAUUCCCAUCCCAUUUGGUAGGACCAAAAAGACAAGAUAGGGUGUCUCACUAAGUCUGACCGUUUAAGUAAUAAUUGAUACUCCUAUUUCUUUCUUGUUGAAUGAAUUCUAGUUAUAUAUAUAUAUAUAUGUAUAUAAAAUUAUUGAGGUUUUCAACUGUAGAUGUCUCCGUUGGAAUCCGUAUAAUUAACAUCAAGAGAUGUUAACUGGUUGAGGUACAAUUUUUGGCAAGUUAUUCUACUCUGUGCACAUGAGGUUCUCCAAUGUCUUGCGAAGUUAGUAUUGGUUUGGUAAUUUACUUUUGGUGGCUUAUUUUAUUAAGUGGCAUUUAGGAAAUAAAGGACAUUGUAAAUGUGGUCAUUUCCAAUAUAUUUGAUCUCCUAAGUAGGACUUGUAAAUGUUAGUGAUUUUUUUGCCUCAAAUCCAACAUCCUCUACUGUUGUUAGCCCCACUGUACCACACACCCCUCAUCAGCUGUGCAUGCAUGCCCCAUCAGCAACAUACGAACCCCCUCCCCCCCAACAUCAGCAACCUAGGCACCCCAUGCAGCACCACACGCACUGCCUAUCAUGUGCCCAUUUUAACCUUCAUAACUCUUCAUGGAAGGUUUUUUUUUUUUGGGUGCACUCACUAAGCAAUGACAACAAUUGAAUUAGUAAGUAAAUCAGAUCCAAUUGCACCAUCCAUUUAUUGUUGACACUUGUCUUCCCUAUAGAUACUGUGAUAGCAUCUUGAGUAAAUUAACAGUUAGUUGGUCUAGGUUUCUAAUACAAUUAGCCUGCUACUUUAGGCAUUAGGAAGGCAUAAUCUUUGUGGUUUGUUUUUUUGAUAAUUAGAUAGUUGGGGGAGGGUGGAUUUAAUUAGCUAGUGAAAUAAAAAUGGUGCAAUAUGAUGGAGUAGUAUACCAUGUUGCAAAACUAUCAGAUAUAUAGUAUAAAAUAAAAUAAAAUAAAAAAGAGAAAGGGGAGGGGUGGUGUGGGACCAAGAGUCCCACGUGGGAGAUGGAUGAUAAUUGGUUAGGAAGAGAUUAGAGGAGAUUGUAAAUGACCAUUUCUUUGUCUUUCAGAUUACUAUAAGGCGGAACCGUUCCAAGUGAUAAGUGGGCCAAUUCAACAAAGAAAUCCUCCAACAUAUAAUUGUCCUGACUUUUAUUCUCUUCUAUUCAGUUCAGCCCUGACUUUUAUAAUUUUCUUUCUUGCUCCAACAUAUAAUUGUAUUGUACUUUUUUCAGUUAUUUGUCAUGACCUGCUGAAAUGGACUAUUCUAUUCCAACCAAACGUGGCUUUAGGUUCCAACCUUUUUUGAUGUCAAUAAAUCUUAUUACUAUUAAAAAAAAAAAAAAAAGCUUCCACUAAUGGUAUUAUCCAUUCCAAAUAUUAAGUUGGGUCCUUUUUGUAGAGGAAUAGCUGAUUUUUCCUUGAAAGCAAAAAUCUCCACUAUGGUUAUCACUUUUUUCUACAAUCUUAACUUUUUCUUAUUGGAGAAGUGUGGUUUAGAACUUAAUAUGCUGUUUGUAGGUUGAGGUGUUGUUCGAAUUAAUUAAAGGGCUCAUCAAGGACUUGGAUGGAACUGCUGCAGAUGAGGUGCAUAUAAAAAGUUUUUUGGCAAACAGAAUUUCAUCUUAUAGGAUAGAGAUUUGAAUAUUAAAAUUCACUUGGUAGCCUGCUAUCAACACCUUUUGAUCCACAUGAUUUUUUUAUUUCUUUCUUUAUUUAGGAUAUUUAAUCUUUAUUUUACUGUUAGAAACAUAUAAUGAUUUUUCUUCUUUACGUCUCUCGCCUUGGUUUGUUCCUGCUAUACCCUACCAAUAGCUUGAUGAGGAGGAUUUUAACAAAGAACAAAAUUCUGUUGCUCGGCUCAUUCAUGUGCUUUAUAAUGAUGACCCAGAGGAAUUGUUAAAGGUAAGUAAUUGAUGUCUUGAAAGUUUUUUGCAUCAGCAUUGUUUCUUUUGAUGCUAAUGUUACUUGAAUCUCCUUAAAUCCAUUAACAUCUUAUAAAAUACCUUGGAUGCUCUUUUUUUUAAAGAUAUUAUUGUUGGUGGUCAUUAAAUGGGUAUGCUACGAGCUGAUAGAAAUAAAAGAGAUAAAGAAUCUAAAGUUAGCUUGUUAUGUACAAUGGAGAGUACAAAAAUCCUAGGCUUUGGACUGUCAAUCAAAGUUCGCACACAUGAAUCAUAGUGUUCUGGAAAAUGGACAUACUCAACCCUUAGUGCACUUGAAGUUCCUAACUUCUUUUUAUGAAUAAAGGAAAUCUAUAUUUCUAGUUUAUGACAUGGAUCCAGUCACUAGAUUCUCCAAGGACUUGGUUCAAUGGUGAGUUGAAUCCCUACGUGUAAGGUUUACAUGUAUCAAGAAGCCAUUAUUUUACAUGUAUCAAGAAGUCAUUAUUUAUGCUAUCUUUGUAACUGCCAUUGCUAUGAAAACUUCAUCUGCUUGGGGAAAGAGAGGAAAGAAAAAUAAAAGAACCAAAAAUCUUAGAAGGCCCAAGUUGUGCAGAAAUAUCACUAUUUUCUACUACGUGUGAUUGUGUAAAGUGAAAGAAUACAUAUGAAAGAAAUGUAAUUUUGCUGGCAAGAACUUGAGCUGAUGAUAAAGAAGUGCACUUGAAAAACUCAAUUCUUUCUAACCACUCAAUUCUUUAUAAAUGAACCUUAAUUUGGAAAGACUGUUCAGAAAGUUGUUUGUGGCUUGUAGUUGAUAAGGCAAUUACAAGGUCAGGAUGGGGAUGUAGCGAGAGAGGAAGUGCCUGCAACUCCAAAGAAAAUUUUUCAGAUAUUAAAUGAGGUGACUUUUGAACUGAUGUGGAAGACAAUGUCAAAUUCUUACAUAUUGAUUCUUACAAUGUCAAAUUUUCUUGGCAGGGUUGUCCAUUUUGUUAUGUCUGUUGGAUGGUUCAAUUUAAUUACAAUAACUCGGUUAUAAAAUGUAGGAUUUGUUUUACAUGUGAAUGAAUAUGUUAAAGAGUUUUGUACUGCUAGAAAGUCAUUACAAGGGUUUUGUACUGCUAGGAUUUGUUUUACAAGUUGUUUCUUAGUUUUCAAUUUUGACUACAAGGUUAAGUUUUUAAUUUUUCUACCUUGAAUGCAUCUUAAGUUCUAUAGUACAUUUACUCUGCAAGAUUAAACUCAGGUGUGUAGGUCCUUCUCAAGCCAUCUGGCCUAGGAAAAAAAAGAAGAAGCUAUAGCCGCGUUUUUAAACGCGGCUAAAACUAUGUCCCAUAGCCACAUUAAAAAAAUGCGGCUGUAGCUUUCACCUACAGCUUUAACUCAAAAUCAUUUUUUUUGUGUUUGGUGGUAUUGAAAAUUAAUAAUAUUUUUUAUAAUGCCAAACAGUUAUAUGUCUAUGCUAUAGGCCAAACACAUAAUCAACCAUAAAAUUGAUGGAAAAAUUCCAACCAAAAAGAAAAGAAAAGAAAAGAAUGGUCAAAAGAACAAAAUUAAUUCAUUAUUUUUCUCAUUAAGACAUUGUUGAAAAUCAUAAACCACAAAUGGUAUCUGAAACCUUAAUUAGCUGCAUAAUAACAAAGCGAGUUUGUGGUUUUUGUCCCUAUAUGCAUGCAUGCUGCAAGCACGUUCGAAGGUAGUGAUAAAGACACAAGUGGAUAACAACAUAAAUGUUUUAAGCUCAGGUCCGGUUAUAUAUUUACCCAGAUGUAGCUGUGGUUUCUUUAGGCCCUCUUCACUAAAAAGGACAAAAAAAGUUCACUUAUUUAGCUAUCUUAGAGUAUCAGUUGUGGGACUUGUAUAUGCCAAAUGUUAUGAACAUUUGACAUUUAAGCCUCAAAACUGCUCAACAAUGGGAAGGCCAAAUGCUAAAAGGCCAAAUUUAUUUUGAGAUAUAGCUAUAGUACCAUCUCAAAUGUAAGAUGGUACUGUGACUGAAUUGCAUAAUUUUUUUUUUUUUUAAUACUCUCAUUUCUCUCUCCUCUCUCAUUUUAACCCGGCAAUUUCUCUCUCCUCUCUCAUUUUUUCUCUUUCUUUUCUCUCUCUUCCUUGUCUCUCUUUCUUUCUGCUCUCUCUUCUUCUUGCUCUUUGAUUCUUCUCAAUAUCUUCACUCUCUCCAGAACUCUCUAGAUCUGCGUUGGGUUUCUAGAUCGAUGGUGGGUCUUUAG